UUACUUUACAUACUUACAUUUUCUUCAGAACAGUAUUAGAAAUCACGCCAUGCAUUGCCAGACAAUUAGAGUCUUGGCAACCCCCUGCCAGACACGCGUAAAGUUUAAAAGAUUUAAAGUGUGAAGUGUCUGGCAGGGGUUGCCACUAUACUAAGUGUUUGGCAAUAAAUGACGUGAUACUUUCUA